GGCGUCCAAAAUAUAAUUGACUUCAAUAUAUCAUCAUCCAAAACCGACACAAAAAGUGUAGCUGGUGAGAUUCUCAUUUUUGCCGGCUAAGUGUGUGAGGACUUACUUAAAGUUAGAAGAUGUACGAAGCAUAACCACAGAAGCAACUCUGGUAAACAUAAAGGUAUAAUGGAAGUUCGCCCUACUUCCUGACCUCGUAUCAUGUGUUAUAUGCGGAGGCAAACGUUGUAGGAUAGAGAUCGAUCGGGGCGGAAAAUGGGCUCGAGUAGCUAUCGAAUUCGAUCAGGUUGUUGCUUGAAUCUUCUCAUACGUUUUAGAGCUAUUGUGAGAUCACUACUCUCAAAUGGAUGAGGUUGACGAAUAAUGUCAGGACGUAGAAUGGAUGUUGCACCUAGUUAAAAAAAAAUAUUGUAUUCCUAUGUCGUUGUUUUUUAAGUAGUUAUGAUUAGAUAUUUGCUUUUCCUAUAGAUUAUGGAUUUUGAUUAGAUCCGA